UACGGAGGGUGCAAGCGUUAUCCGGAUUCACUGGGUUUAAAGGGUGCGUAGGUGGGCUAGUAAGUCCGUGGUGAAAUCCCCGAGCUUAACUCGGGAACUGCCGUGGAUACUAUUAGUCUUGAAUAUCGUGGAGGUAAGCGGAAUAUGUCAUGUAGCGGUGAAAUGCCUAGAUAUGACAUAGAACACCGAUAGCGGAGGCAGCUUACUACGCGAUUAUUGACACUGAGGCACGAAAGCGUGGGGAUCAAACAGG
rnacentral:rRNA from 1 species